AGCGAACGCUGGCGGCAGGCUUAACACAUGCAAGUCGAGCGCCCCGCAAGGGGCGCGGCAGACGGGAGAGUACCACGUGGGAACAUACCUUUUGGUUCGGAACAACUGAGGGAAACUUCAGCUAAUACCGGAUAAGCCCUUACGGGGAAAGAUUUAUCGCCGAAAGAUUGGCCCGCGUCUGAUUAGCUAGUUGGUGAGGUAACGGCUCACCAAGGCGACGAUCAGUAGCUGGUCUGAGAGGAUGAUCAGCCUCACUGGGACUGAGACACGGCCCAGACUCCUACGGGAAGCAGCAGUGGGGAAUAUUGGACAAUGGGGGCAACCCUGAUCCAGCCAUGCCGCGUGAGUGAUGAAGGCCUUAGGGUUGUAAAGCUCUUUUGCCCGGGAAGAUAAUGACGGUACCGGGAGAAUAAGCCCCGGCUAACUUCGUG
rnacentral:rRNA from 1 species